AUCACUGUGACAUUUGGUGCAAAAGUGACUUGUGUAUCUGCCAACCAAAACGUGGGCUCUCAGAGAAAUUCAGCCAAUAGGGGAUGGGGCGUGACGUCACCGCUCUAGCGCUGCGGAGGCUGAACUUCGAAACCGAAACCCCCUUUGCGAGAUUCGCUGCAUCUAUACCUGAUUUGCGUUCAAAAAUGCCUGCUUAAUUAUUUCACAGUAGGAGCAAACAUGCCUUAAGAAAAGGAGUACGUUUAAACUUUAGUAACCAUAAAAAGUACGCCAGGUGGAUGCCUUUCUACUCCAGGAAGCCGCAGCCUACGGCAUGAAGGAGGAAGAGGACGCGGUCAGUUUGAAAUAGCUGAAUCGAUGACAUCCUGAAAGCAGCAAUACAAUGAUCAGAGGGACUUCGCCAUCAUCACAUCCCUCAUUGCUGCAGUCCGACUGAAACAGGACGGUGAUGCAUGGCAGUUCAUGCCCGAGAUACGGAUGAUGAAGAGACCACAGCAACAUCUGGUCCAGAUGA